AUACUCAUUUUUUAAGUAUAUGAAGAACUAAGUCAAAUUUAUAAGAACCCAAGUCAAUCCUCAAUUGAUAAAUGAUCAAAGGAUAUGAAUAGGCAGUUUUCAGAUGAAAUAAAAUCUUUCAAUAAUUAUAUGAAAGAAUGUUCUAAAUCCCUCUUGAUUAGAGAAGUGCAAAUUAAAAGAAUUCUGAGGUACCAUCUCAUACCUAUCAGACUGACCAAUAUGACAUAAAGGAAAAUGAUAAAUGUUGGAGGACACGUGGCAAAACUGGGACACUAAUGUAUUGCUGGUGGAGUUGUGAAUUGAUUCAACCAUUCUGGAGGUGUGACAGAGGCUGGCACAUAAGAAAAGUGCCAGGCUGAAGAGUGUGUGGAACUGAUCACCUCGAUGGGGGAGGGGCCCCAGGACUUUGGAAUCUGGAGGAGGAGAAGAUUCUGGCUAGGAGAGGAGUUGGUCUCUCAGUUGGGAGAAGCUGAAAAGAGAAGGUUGAAAAAGACUGAGGGUUACUCACUUUUUCCUGUCUGUGACUCGAAAUCUUUCCCCCCAAUAUUUCCCAAUUGAAAGGACUAUUGAAGAGGACACCUGAGAAAGACAUUUUAAAUUUAUUUCUGAUGUUACUUCAGCUCCUGUUGCCCUGAGUCUGAACUGUGACCAAGGGACCAAAUCCAGGCUCAUUCCAUAUUGAAUGAAGGAGCAGUUGUCCCCAUGGAAGGAGGUUAUUGGAAGCACAGGUGGAGACUACUAAGCCAAGCAGGGUUUGUCUGGAUCCUUUUGGUAGCUUCCGCUCUUGGGAACAAUUCAAAGAAUGACUCAGAGGAUGGAACAUGCUGGUUACUUGACCACAAUAGUACGGAGACCCCGAAACAAGGAAAGACAGAAUAUCUUACUGCAAAUGAUUGUGAAGGAGUAAUUUCUGACUAUUUCAAAUUUUGUUUCCCAAAAAGAUGCCCUAAGAUUUCCUGUUUAUUUUAUCAAGAUGACUCAGGGAACUUGAAGCCUUAUAUUUGUAGUACUCUCCUCAGAGUGCUUAUUGUCAGCGUGCAAACUGGAAAAGCAAAGACAGCAGGACAUCUGUGUACGCCUAAAGAUUCCAUCUGUAAUUGGACCUUAGACAAUGAUUUACUACUCACUUCUGGAUCUCUUAUAAUGGCCUACAGAUGCUUGGAGAUGGGACUGCAUAUAAUUGGUUUGACAGUUUCUGAUGUAACAUCUACUGCACCAACUCAGAGUCUAUUUAAUAUGACACUGGAAAAAGUAGGUAUUGGAUUUCUUGAUCUUGGCAGUUCAUCUCCAGAAGUGCUUAUUCUGUCACCAUUAAAGGUAGGAGCUCAUAUUCACUUCUUUAAGAAAAUUUUCUCACUCUGA
rnacentral:lncRNA from 1 species